rnacentral:tRNA from 1 species
GCCUUAAAAGUUUACGAAAAACAGUUAGUCUUGUAAAUUAAAAGAGAAGGUUUAACUCCUUCUUAAGGCU